CUACGGGAGGCAGCAGUGAGGAAUAUUGCACAAUGGGGGGGACCCUGAUGCAGCAACGCCGCGUGGAGGAUGACGCAUUUCGGUGUGUAAACUCCUUUUAUAUGUCAAGAAAAUGACGGUAGCAUAUGAAUAAGCACCGGCUAACUCCGUGCCAGCAGCCGCGGUAAUACGGAGGGUGCAAGCGUUACUCGGAAUCACUGGGCGUAAAGGACGCGUAGGCGGGUUGGUAAGUCAGGUGUGAAAUCCUACAGCUUAACUGUAGAACUGCACUUGAAACUUCUAAUCUAGAGUAUGGGAGGGGGAGAUGGAAUUAGUGGUGUAGGGGUAAAAUCCGUAGAUAUCACUAGGAAUACCUAAAGCGAAGGCGAUCUCCUGGAACAUUACUGACGCUAAGGCGUGAAAGCGUGGGGAGCAAACAGGAUUAGAUACCCUAGUAGUC
rnacentral:rRNA from 1 species